rnacentral:rRNA from 1 species
UACGUAGGGUGCGAGCGUUGUCCGGAAUUAUUGGGCGUAAAGAGCUCGUAGGUGGUCUGUCACGUCGGAUGUGAAAACUCGGGGCUCAACCCCGAGCCUGCAUUCGAUACGGGCAGACUAGAGUUCGGUAGGGGAGACUGGAAUUCCUGGUGUAGCGGUGAAAUGCGCAGAUAUCAGGAGGAACACCGGUGGCGAAGGCGGGUCUCUGGGCCGAUACUGACACUGAGGAGCGAAAGCGUGGGGAGCGAA